rnacentral:misc_RNA from 1 species
UACGUAGGGAGCAAGCGUUGUCCGGAAUUACUGGGCGUAAAGCGCGCGCAGGCGGUCCUCUAAGUCUGGUGUGAAAUCUUGCGGCUUAACCGCAAGCGGGCGCUGGAAACUGGGGGGCUUGAGUACAGAAGAGGAGAGCGGAAUUCCACGUGUAGCGGUGAAAUGCGUAGAUAUGUGGAGGAACACCAGUGGCGAAGGCGGCUCUCUGGUCUGUAACUGACGCUGAGGCGCGAAAGCGUGGGGAGCAAACCGG